GCAAUAAAAUUUCGUUGCUCUACUGUGCUCAGAUUUUUUUUUGCUUUAUUCAUAUCGUUCUUGUUAAUGUUUGGUAUUCAAAAAAUGGGAUUGAAAGUGCAUUUGGAUUUGAAAAGAUUACAACCUUCAGUGAUUUAUGAAAAUGAGAUGCAAUCGCCAGCUGCCUUUGAGGAAUAUCCGCCCAGCGAAAUACCAAAUCUAUCGAUUCACGAAAAAGCCCGCCUUGAAGUGGAAAGGAUUAUCGAAGAAGUUCGCAAGACGCAAGCAAAAAAAAGAACAGAAGGAAGAACAUUAAAAAAGCGCUAGAAAAAAUAACAUUAGAUUUGGAGCUGCUAAAAAUAGAAGAACAUCAUGAAAAAGUAGAAUAGAUUAGUUUUAAGAUAAUCAUUAAUAAUAAUGAUAACAAAUUAAACAAAUGAAUGAAAAAUAAAAAAAAAAUAACUAAACAAAAAAAAAUUAAAAAAAAAAUAAAAUAAGAAACAAACACAAAAAAAUAAUUUAAAAAGAAAUAAACAUAAUAAUAAUGAUAAUAAAUUAAUCAUUAUAAGUAAACAACAAUUUUAAAAAUGGUUUUAAUAAAAUAAAAAGUAAGUAAAUAAAAAUAGAUAAAUAAAAAA